UGCCACUUGCACUCCAGCCUGGGGGACAGAGCAAGGGAAGACCCUGUCUCAAAAAAAAAGAAAAAGAAAAAUCAUUUGAGGAAAAAUUCACAAGUAAUAAUAUUGAGUCAUUUAAUCUGUGAACGAAGUAUGUAUUUAGGUUUCCUUUCAUUUCUCUCAGCCGUCUUUACAGGUAUUAUUAUAUACAGUUAUAGGUGUAUUAUAUAGAUUCCUCUCUGGGUUCAAAUCAUGGUUCUGCCACUUAAGAAGUAACCUUGGGCAGGUUUCUUAGCUUCUGUGAGCCUCUUCUUCCUUGUCUAUGAAAUAGGGUAAUAUCUCAUUGAUUUUGUCUAAGGGUUAAGUGAAUUGAUGUAUGUUAAAGGCCUAAUGUUAUGCCUGGCAAAAAGUUUACUGCACAGUCCAAGUUAGUUCUUGUCAUGAUUAUCACCAUUGUCAUCUUUACCAUCAAGUAACGAUGGCCUGUUGCACCCACCUCUGCCAAGUUAUUCUUGCCCACAACCAGACAGUUAGUAGCAGCUGCUCAGGGCUCCCUUUAUGAUCAGCAUGGCUGAUGAACACUGCCAAACGCUUGCUCUUAGGGGCUGUCUUUUCUCUAUGCCCCACUGCCAUUCUCCAGCUGUAGCUGUUUACACAUUCUUCCUUUGGAUUAUGUUAAUACCAUUGAUUAUGUUAAUACCAUUGUUAAUACCACAGCUUUCCUUUGCAUUUAGUUCAGUCUUCCUUUGAUUUUUCCAAUAUUGCUUUCUGAUUUUGCUUGGAAAAGUUUGCCCUAACUUUUUGUCUGUCACUGUCUGAAUCUCUCCUACUAUGUGUUUAUGAGUUUAAUUUUCAGAGUUUUGGGCUAGCUCAUAAUCACCCCAUUUUCCACUUGAGUAUUUUGUAGAUUGGGCAGUAACUUAAGUUUAUUAAAAUAAAGUGCUUACACAGAAUAUGUAUUUAAAAAUUUUUCUUCAUUUAUGGGAAAGUGGGAGAGAAAACAGGAUUUUUAUUUAAAACUUUUUAGAAGGUGAGAUGUGAAAAUAAUUUGCUAUUGACUAAAUCAGAUUGUUGUUACACUGUUAGUCUUAUGGAUUCAGAAAGUCCAUUGUUUUGAAAUCAGAACUUUGUCACUAACCCCAUCCCGAUGAGGUUUUCAAGUCAGCACUCUCAGGGUCCUUCAGGGAAAUCAAAGCGAUUUCUCAUGGGAGGAUUUGGGACAUCUGUGUCUAUGUGGUGUCUGCAUUUUUGUACAGUCAUGAUUUAACUUCAGAAAGAGCCUGUAUUUGGGACUAAAUAUUCUACUCUUUUCUGAAUCAUCAAAUUAUCAUUACAUUAUAUUCAGUAUUGGUUUUAGAACAAAAUAUGCCGCUUCCCAACUGUUUAAAUCUGGGCAAAGCAUGUAUCUCAUCUGCCCAUUGGUUUCCUUAUCUCUGAAAUGGGAAUAUUUAUCUGUUUUGAGGAUUAAUUUAAGUUAUGCUCUUAGAAUAGUGCCAGUAGGCACAUGGUAGGCACAUGUUAGCAGCUUAUUCUAGUUAUUUCAGGAGUGACAUCUCAUGCUUGCUUUAUUUAAUUAAAAUUAUUUAGCCAAAUUGAUGGUUUAACCAGUUGUUUUGUUCUUUAAUCAUUCUGCUUAACUAGGAAAUACUGAAGGUUCUUUUUUCCAAAAUGUGAAUCUGCUUGUUUUUACUUAAGACCUGAUGUAACCACUGUAGUAGUUCCGGGAUAGUAUUUUAUCUCCAUGGUGAUAUUAAUUUAAAUUUGGGGUAAUAGUAAGUUCGGUUUUAUUUUUUAAGAUAACAUGGAAAUUUUGUCUUCCAGUAGUGAAUGUGAUUUUCUAAAGACCUUGUAUUUUAAAUUGUUUCUACAUAAACUAACUCAGUCAUAAGGAAGGUAUUUGAUUUGCUGACAGUCACGUAGGAAAUCACGACUCUUGGCUGCAUCAUUUGUUUCCCCAGUCCCGGAUGAUUCAGUUUCCUUAGAAACUGCAUGAUGUGCAUGAUUUAUGAAUUAUGUCUCAAGUUAGGUUGAGAACUCAGUUGUUUAGACCUUGUUUUAAAGACAAAAAUAAUCUGAGUAAUAUUAAUGAAUAAUGAUGAUUUGUAGAGUAAGUAUAUAUUUAUAAAAUGUUUAAAAUUAAAUAUGAAAUAAAAAAUAUGGAAAUGAUCUUUAUAUAAUCAAAACAGUCAUAAUUUUGUGCCCUAAAGGAAAUUUAAUGAAGAAUUCCGAGGUAAAAGGCAUAUAACUUUUACUUCUCAUAAAGUGAAUUCAAAAUCACUUAAGCAACCUCAGCUUGAAAUGAUACUACAGUAGCAAAACUUGCUGAUUCUACUUUUUAUCAAUCAGUCAUGGGUGAGAAGUGUUCUUGUUUGUAAGGGAUUACUGAUAAUUAUUAUCAACAGAAUAAAGGCUUACCCUAACAAGAUCUCAGGAGGAUUACAGUUUGGUUUAAUACAGUUAUGUUCAUUUCCUCUGUGGAAAUGUAUUUAAUGGAGCUACUUUAGUAUGGUCGUUAGAGCAUCGUCUCUUCUAUGAUGUGAUCUUAAAAAAAUGUACUAUUGCAGUGGAAUUUUAGGUAAAUCUGUAUUGAGCUUCAGCAGAUUUGAAUUGUAAAAAGAAAUUAAGAUGUAUUAAGAUUUCCUUGGAGCAAGCAAUGUAAUAUUUCAUGUUAUUUCUGUCUCUUUAAAUCAGUAUAUAGUAUCAAUAAUAAAUUUUAAUAAUAUCAAAACAGUUAUCUAUGUGAAACUAGGGUCAUAAUUAUCUUAAAAUUUUUUAGCAUUUAUUUUUAGUCUUAUUUAAUGACAUCUUUUCCUAGAACUGUAUUUCAAAGUCAUUGCAAUAACCUGGUUUUCAGAAUUUGCAAAUUGUCUAAAUCUUCUGAUUGUGGAGUCACAGAUGAUCUGUCUGAUUACCAUGCAUUCAAUCCUUACGGUAAAAAUCUAAUUGUAGUUGGAGCCAUGGGGUGUUUUACUAAUUAUGUAAUAUAUACACCUUGGUGUAUCCUGCAUCUUGGUAGUUUGAUUUUGCAAAGGAAAUCUAUGAUUUAAACAGAAUAUUCACAUUUAACAGUAAAGAUA